rnacentral:lncRNA from 1 species
AGGUGCGCAUGACCUGCGUGGGCAAGAGCUGAGUCUGGAGACACAAACCCCACACUUCUCCUCUUGCGCCCACUUCCCACAUGAGCUGCCUCAGAGCAUCACUUGAUAAAACCAAAUCGCAGAGAGCCUCUCAGUCAGGUGGGAAUAAUAACACCCGCCUCUCCGGGGAAGAGGGCGAGGUGUGCGGAUGUCCCGGUGUGCGGUCCCCACGCUGUCUCUACAGGGAAAAGCAGGCCACCCCACAGAGGUCAAGGAAACUAGGGAAACUGAGAGGCAGUUUCUAAAUACAGAGAAGGGGAAUGCUGAGGAAACCUGCAGGGGUGGCGAGGCUCACUUUGGGGCUGGAGCUAUGGAAGGGAGGAAGACUAUGCCAAGUGGGGAAGAGCGUUCACGAGGGCACAGGGACAGAAAGGACAUUGAUGGUGUGCGUACCCACGGAGCUCAGGAAGGACGCCCAAGUGACGAAAGUGUGUGGCAGCCAGCUGAGGACGAAGGUAAGCCGCCGUGGGGGCAGAAGGAGCCCGACCCGUCUGGAAUUUUCUGUGGUGCUGUACGGGAGUGUGGCUGUGCCAUCGAGAAGCGAGGACCAAGGCCAGGAGCCCAGGGAAGUGUGUCCAGAGCAAGCAGGCGGGAGGGAAAGUCGAAGAACCCAGCAGCCCUUCCUCGCCCCCUUUCGUGCAAACCCGACCCACACUGUCCUGCCGUGUCUCCAGAUAUCAAAACGGACUAAGAAACUCAGACGUGAGGACUUCUAAACCCAAGGAAGCCCAAAGUAACGCACCCGAGUGGAUUAAAGGAAUUGAACCG